rnacentral:rRNA from 1 species
GACGAACGCUGGCGGCGUGCUUAACACAUGCAAGUCGAACGGUGAAGCGCUUUCCUUUUUGGUUGGUGUGGUGGAGUGGGGAACGGGUGAGUAACACGUGAGUAACCUUCCCCCUUCUUCUGGAUAACCGCAUGAAAGCUUGGCUAAUACUGGAUAUUCUGCUCCUUCUGCAUGGUGGGUGUGGGAAAGAUUUUGCCUUUGGGUGCUUGCGGUGGGGGAUGGUCUCGUGGCCUAUGAGCUUGUUGGUGGGGUGAUGGCCUACCAAGGAGGUGACUGGUAGGCGGGCUGAGGGGGUGGACGGUUACACUGGGACUGAGAAACGGGCCACACUCCUACGGGCGGCAGCAGUGGGGAAGACUGCAGGGUGGGCGAAAGCCUGAUGGAGCGACGCCGCGUGAGGGAUGGAGGCGUUCGGGUUGUGAACCUCUUUCGUGAGUGAAGCAGGCCUGCUCGUUGUGGGUGGGUUGACGGUAGCUGGAUAAGAAGCGCCGGCUAACUACGUG